rnacentral:rRNA from 1 species
GACGAACGCUGGCGGCGUGCCUAACACAUGCAAGUCGAGCGAAGAAUUUCUGUUGCUUGCGGCGGAAGAACUUGGGGGCGGAAGGGUGAGUUACACGUAAAGAACCUUCCUCAUAGACUGGGACUAACAUCGGGAACGAUAGCUAAAAACGGGUAAUAGCGUUACCUGCAUGGGUGAUGUUUAAGAGUUGGUUUUGCUAACACUGUGAGGUGGCUUUGCGGUGCAUUAGCGAGUUGGUGGGGUAAGGGCCUACCAAGGCGACGAUGCAUAGCCGACCUGAGAGGGUGAUCGGCCACACUGGUACUGAGACACGGCCCAGACUCCUACGGGAGGCAGCAGUAGGGAAUCUUCCGCAAUGGGCGGAAGCCUGACGGAGCAACGCCGCGUGAGUGAAGAAGGAGUUCGGUUCGUAAAGCUCUGUUGUUAGGGAAGAAGGAUUGUGUAGUAACUUUACACAGUAGUGACGGUACCUAAACAGAAAGCCACGGCUAACUACGUG